CAACGCCGCGUGAGCGAUGAAGGCCUUCGGGUCGUAAAGCUCUGUUGUUAAGGAAGAACAAGUACGAGAGUAACUGCUCGUACCUUGACGGUACUUAACGAGAAAGCCACGGCUAACUACGUGCCAGCAGCCGCGGUAAUACGUAGGUGGCGAGCGUUAUCCGGAAUUAUUGGGCGUAAAGCGCGCGCAGGCGGUUUCUUAAGUCUGAUGUGAAAGCCCACGGCUCAACCGUGGAGGGUCAUUGGAAACUGGGAAACUUGAGUGCAGAAGAGGAAAGCGGAAUUCCACGUGUAGCGGUGAAAUGCGUAGAGAUGUGGAGGAACACCAGUGGCGAAGGCGGCUUUCUGGUCUGUAACUGACGCUGAGGCGCGAAAGCGUGGGGAGCAAACAGGAUUAGAUACCCUGGUAGUCCACGCCGUAGACGAUGAGUGCUAAGUGUUAGAGGGUUUCCGCCCUUUAGUGCUGAAGUUAACGCAUUAAGCACUCCGCCUGGGGAGUACGGUCGCAAGACUG
rnacentral:rRNA from 1 species